UACAGAGGUCUCAAGCGUUGUUCGGAUUCAUUGGGCGUAAAGGGUGCGUAGGCGGCGCGGUAAGUCGGGUGUGAAAUCUCGGAGCUUAACUCCGAAACUGCAUUCGAUACUGCCGUGCUUGAGGACUGGAGAGGAGACUGGAAUUUACGGUGUAGCGGUGAAAUGCGUAGAUAUCUGGAGGAACACCGGUGGCGAAGGCGGCAUCCUGGACCGGCAUUGACGCUGAGGAGCGAAAGCCAGGGGAGCAAACGG
rnacentral:rRNA from 1 species